rnacentral:misc_RNA from 1 species
UUGAAGUUCUCCUCUGAAUAAAAAGAACACAAAUGCUUCAUUUCAUUUUUUAGGACGCUCCUUUAAAGUCUGGAUUCUUUUCUGAAAAGAGUCACACUUUCCUAUAUAUGGAAGUCUAACUUUAGCAUGUUCCACAAGAUCCGCAGAAACUUUUAGUAUGUGCCAAAGUCUUUUAUUUCAUUCAGCAGAAAGUUGUCUGCUAGAUCAUUGCCUGAUGUUAGUUUGCUCCCACAAUAUCUCUAAGACUCGCAUACCUUGUUGAGUGGAAGAUAUACAGGAAAUCAGAAAUGUUUGCAUACAGUAGAAAUAGUAAACAAUGGAG